rnacentral:ncRNA from 2 species
UUCUUCAUCAACCGGAGAGGUUUUACUUAAUUGUAGAUUAAUAGGGAAUCGUGUGUAAAUCACGAACUGUCGCGCAACUGUAAGUAACACAAAGGUUUUUACCCUUAGAAUAUCCACUGUUCCAGUAAUGGGAUGGGAAGGAUGGUAAAAAUGUUACAAGUCAGGAGACCUGCCUUCACCGAAUUGACAAU